GACAGAGGGGGCAAGCGUUGCUCGGAAUCACUGGGCGUAAAGGGCGCGUAGGCGGGAUGGCAAGUCAGUCGUGAAAUCUCUCGGCUCAACCGAGAAACGUCGGCUGAUACUGCCGUUCUUGAGGGAUGCAGAGGAGACUGGAAUUCCCGGUGUAGCGGUGAAAUGUGUAGAGAUCGGGAGGAACACCGGUGGCGAAGGCGGGUCUCUGGGGCAUCUCCUGACGCUGAGGCGCGAAAGCGUGGGGAGCAAACGGGG
rnacentral:rRNA from 1 species